rnacentral:misc_RNA from 1 species
CUGUUUCAUCCGUUCCUCGACGAUCCCGGCAUCGAGAUUUUUGGCGUCGAGGCGGCGGGGCAUGGCCUGACCAAUCUGCAUGCAGCGUCGAUCGCGGGCGGCCGGCCGGGCGUAUUNNAAUCGCACCUAUCUGCUGAUGGAUGACGACGGCCAGAUUCAGGAAGGCCACUCGAUCUCCGCGGGCCUCGAUUAUCCCGGCAUUGGUCCGGAGCAUUCAUGGCUGCAUGAGACCGGCCGCGUGACGUAUCUCUCGGCGACCGACGACGAGGCGCUCGCGGCUUUCCAGAUGUUGUCGCGUCUGGAAGGUAUCAUUCCCGCGCUGGAGCCUGCACAUGCCAUUGCGAAAGUGAUGGAGCUCGCGCCGAAGCGGCCGAAGGAUCACCUCAUGGUGGUCAAUCUGUCCGGCCG